CCAUCAAAAGUCGAUUGCACGAGCUAGCACUUCUGCGGAGGGUUGAUUGGUUUGAGGGCUUCGUGUGGACCAUCCGUAGAGGUCGGACGCUUGUGCGGCUAUAAGCGAUUAGAGAAGACUUUCAGAUCUAUGAUCUCGAUUGUGGAGUUUGACUAUCCAUGCUCAAGUAUUGGGUUCGAAAUCCUAGAAGUGGUAGAUUAGAUCUAUUACUAAAUGCUAUUUUUUUGGUUCAUAUGCUUGUCAUUUUAGAUUCAAAUUUUUAUGCA
rnacentral:lncRNA from 1 species